AGAGUUUGAUCCUGGCUCAGAUUGAACGCUGGCGGCAGGCCUAACACAUGCAAGUCGGGCGGCAGCGCGGGGGCAACCCUGGCGGCGAGCGGCGGACGGGUGAGGAAUGCAUCGGAAUCUGCCUCGUUGUGGGGGAUAACCCAGGGAAACUUGGGCUAAUACCGCAUGAGAUCGAGAGAUGAAAGCGGGGGACCUUCGGGCCUCGCGCGAUGAGAUGAGCCGAUGCCGGAUUAGCUAGUUGGUGGGGUAAAGGCCCACCAAGGCGACGAUCCGUAGCUGGUCUGAGAGGAUGAUCAGCCACACUGGGACUGAGACACGGCCCAGACUCCUACGGGAGGCAGCAGUGGGGAAUAUUGGACAAUGGGCGCAAGCCUGAUCCAGCCAUGCCGCGUGGGUGAAGAAGGCCUUCGGGUUGUAAAGCCCUUUUGUCCGGGACGAAAUCGCUGGGGUGAACAGUCCCAGUGGCUGACGGUACCGGAAGAAUAAGCACCGGCCAACUUCGUGCCAGCAGCCGCGGUAAUACGAAGGGUGCAAGCGUU
rnacentral:rRNA from 1 species